GACGAACGCUGGCGGCGUGCUUAACACAUGCAAGUCGAACGGAAAGGCCCUGCUUGCAGGGUACUCGAGUGGCGAACGGGUGAGUAACACGUGGGUGAUCUGCCCUGCACUUCGGGAUACGCCUGGGAAACUGGGUCUAAUACCGGCUAGGAGCCAUUAUUAGUGUGAUGGUUGGAAAGUUUUUUCGGUGUAGGAUGAGCUCGCGGCCUAUCAGCUUGUUGGUGGGGUAAUGGCCUACCAAGGCGGCGACGGGUAGCCGGCCUGAGAGGGUGGACGGCCACACUGGGACUGAGAUACGGCGCAGACGCAGACGGGAGGCAGCAGUGGUGAAUAGUGCACAAUGGGCGCAAGCCUGAUGCAGCGACGCCGCGUGGGGGAGUACUGCCUUCGGGUUGUAAGCUCCUUUCGCUAGGGACGAAGCUUUUUGUGACGGUACCUAGAGAAGAAGCACCGGCUAACUACGUG
rnacentral:rRNA from 1 species